AUAUUUUUCAAAUGAUUUUUUUAAUAUUUAUUUAUAGUUAUAUUUAUAGAAUAAGGGUAUAAUAAUAUUUUACCUCUUUAAUGAAAACUAUUUUGGUAUUUCUUCUCUUUACGUGUUCUUUUGGUAAAAACCGCGUUUUAGGAUCUCUUAUGAGAUUUGCCAUAUUUCACGUAAUUAGUUUUAUAGAAUCCGACAAAAUACCACAUGAUGUUUUAAGCUUCAGUAAAAUUUUAUGUUUGAUUUACAGUUAAACUUCGGUUACUCCAUAUGGUAUUAAAGAGAUUUAAGAAUUUGUAAUCUGAUUCACAUUUAAAUUUCAGUUACUCCAUAUGUCUUUUUUGGGUCUAAAUGUUAAACUCCAUAUCGAUAUUGGGUUGGUUUAUAAGUUUGUGUUUGUAACUCUUGGAGUAGAUUGUGCUCGUUGGCUUUGGGUUGGUUUAUAAGUUUGUGUUUGUAACUCUUGGAGUAGAUUGUGCUCGUCGGCUUCCGGAAGCUGUAGAUAACCAGUACAUUUAAGGUUUGAACCGCCUUUCUUUCGGUACUCGUGGUAACUGUUUUUCUGUGUAGCCCUUUCCUUCUCAUGGGUUGGAACCCGUUUCGUUGGCUUCCAUUUCCAUUCACUCAGCUCAUGUCCUUCUUAGAGUGUUAGUAUUGUUGUGUUUUAACUUCUUUUUUUAGUUUCAGGGAAAAUGGCAUAUUUCAACCUGAAAUACACGAAAAUUAAAAAAUAAUAUAUGAAAUUUACGCGUUGUGCAUUUUCAUUCCCAAACUUUAUAGUAGUGCAUAUUCUAUGCUAAACUAAACAAAAAAUCAAAAAUACUACAUGAACUCUCAAUAUCGCUCUUAUAUAUAUUUGACCAUCAGAGAUAUUAGUCAUGUGUCAAUUUAUCAAAACGACGUCCUUUUGGAUAAAUUAUGUAAAAUUUAAAAUUGAAAAAUACUAUAUGAACUCUCAAAAUCAUGCUUAUAUAUAUAUUGACUGUCAAAGGUGUUAGUCAUCCGUUAAUUUGUCAAUACAACAACAUUUUUGAUAAAUUCUGUAAAAUGAAAAAAUAAUUUUUGGGAGGUUUUUCUUACACUGUGUUAGUUAAAAUAAUGACGUUGUUUUGAUAAUUAACGUUUUUUGGUAAAUCAACGGAUGACUAACACCUUUAACAGUCAAUAUAUAAGCACGAUUUUGAGAGUUUAUGUAGAAUUUUUAAAAAAAUUAUUUUACAGAAUUUAUCAACAAUGAUGUCGUUUUGGUAAAUUAACGGAUGACUAACACCUUUGAUGGUCAGUAUUUAUACAAGCAUGAUUUAAUUGUUCAUGUAGUAUUUUAAAAAUUUUAGUUUUUUACAGAAUUUAUCCAAAAUGACGUCGUUUUGAUAAACUAAUGGAUGACUAACAACUUUGGCGGUCAAUAUAUAUAAGUACGAUUUGAGAGUUCAUGUAGUAUUUUAAAUUUUUUAAUUUUACAUAAUUUGUCCAAAAUGACGUUGUUUGAAGAUUAACGGAUGACUAACACCUUUGACGGUUAAUAUAUAUAUAAGCACGAUUUUGAGUUUAUGUAGUAUUUUUAAAUUUUUGUUUAGUUCAGUAUGGAAGCACCACUAUAAAGUUCGGGAAGGAAAAGGCAUAAAUCGUAAAGUUCUUGUAGUAUUCUUUUAGUUUUUGUUUAGUUCAAUAUGGAAAACACACUAAUACAAAGUUCAAGAAGAGAAAAGCACGCGGCUUAUAGUUCAUGUUGCUUUUUUUCCUUUAGAGUCUAACUAAAUAGUCUUUCUAGAGUAAAAUUAUUUUUCAGCUGAGUUGCACUGACCAAAACCAAUCAGAAUAAAAAUAUAUAACUUUAUGUACAGUAACUUUUUUUGUCUUUUGUGAAUCUUUAACGUAAAUUUUUUUCUCUUUCUUAUGGAAUAAACUUUUACUCCAGCGUUACUUUUUCUCUCCUAUUUCAUUUCCACCCAUUUACUCUAAUUUUUAUUCCUCCCAAUUACUCAAUUUUUGCCAAUCACACCCUUAGUUUCAUUAUGCAUUUCUAUAGAUCAAGCUAAUUUAAUAAAUUAUUGUAUUUAAGUAAAUGUUUUUUAAUGAAAACUAAAUAUCUAAACAAAAUACAACAUAUUAUAAAUAAGUAAUGAAUAUCGACAAAAAUAAUCAUUUUAAUAAAUAUAUUGUAAUUUCAAUUAUACGAAAAUUCAAUACAAUUACAAAAUAAUGUGUCUAAAUACAUUUUACAGAAAUUAUAUUAAAUUUAUGAUUUGGGCUAUGCAGUGUAUGAAGACCCUGUAAUUCUCAGAUGUAGUUUUCACGACGGAUUUUUCUCAAUUGGUGAAGAUGGUGUCGCCACCUGAGGAAUGGCCAGCGUUUUCUACACACAUGGAAGAAUUCUGCCGCAUUAAGACUUUUUCUCUAAUUUCAAGAUCAGACAUAUUCCAAGGGCACGAAGUACAAUGGCGGACAAGCUUGCACGUGGUGCGAGAAGUUCUCAUCAACUAUGUUAUAUGUUGAUUUGAUACCUCCGGUUUGUCUAUUUGAACCGGUGGUGUUGUCAUAGAGUAGAUUCUUGUUAUAAAAAAUAUAUAUACAUAGGUUUUUACAAAAAAUAUUAUAAAAUUUAAUACAUACAUAUAUAUAUAUAUAAAGUGCAUACAUUCAUUUAAAUGAUUUCUAUAAAAGUAACUAUUUAAAUUUAUAAAUAUAAGCAGUCAAUAAAGUGCAUAAAUUCAUUUAAAUGAUUUCUAUAAAAAAUAUUAUAAUUGAUAUUUAAAUUUUGUACACAAUUAUAAUUAGUUUAUUUAUGUUAAUCAUCGUCAAUAAAAAUAAAAUCAACUAUAGCAUAUAUAUUUUUAUUUAUUUAAAGGGUUUUUGCACUAGAUAUACAUAGAAGAGUCGUAAAUUAAGUAACUGGUCAUGGAACUGUUCAGUUUCCAUAAAUACCGAAAGGACCCCUAUUUUGUGAGAAAUUCGAGAAUAUAGGGGCAAUCAGACAACCGGUAGAAAGCGGUAGAACACGCUUUGUAGUAAUGAUGGAAUCUUAUUGGAACUGAUAGAAAAUGUACUUUUGUCUACAUGCAAAAAACCAACCCCUAUCAGAAAACUGUACCCUUUAAUAUAUCAUCGAUUACUAGCCUUUAAUAUAUCAUCGACAUUUUGACAGCAACAGUACUCGACCUCACCAAAAUCACUUCUCUGCAAAUAUCAUCGAUACAUUAUCAGACGUAAUUGAAGUCGUUCCGAUUUGUGUCAGCUGUCUGUACUCCAUUGACAACGUAUUUCAUAUAAAUUAAGUGUUUGGAAAUCCGGAUACAGUUGUGACAGUGGUGGACAAAAAGACUUCUGCGAAGGGUUGUUUUGGAUCACAACUUUACAAACGAUGCCAGUUAAUGGAAGUAGCCGGUAGCAGGUAAAAUAGAGAUGGAUUCCGUCGAUUGCAACAAGGUUAAUAUGGACUUUCCAUGCAGUUAUUUCUCCUGGUUUGCCAAUUAAUAAAAAAAAUGUCCACUUACCUAAUUUCCAUUCUUGUUUUGGUUAUUCACCCAAAUCACCCUUAUUUAAACCCUGCAUAAAGGGUUGUUAUUUGGUCUAUGAACAAAAAAUAAAGCUGUGCAUAGUGUUCAUUGGUAAAAAAACAAAAAAAAAAUCACUCAUUGGGCCUCAUCAUUUGAUCAGACUCGUUUUACCCUUGUUUGUAGGACAUUUUUUUAAACACAACUUGAACCGCAUACAGUUCAUUAAAUAUUUUAUUAUUAAAUUUUUGUUCUGCAAAUUAAUUGUGAAUUGAAAACAAAUGCAGAUAAAACUGCAUGAUUCAAUCUCCUGCAUCUCUCAUGUCUUUCUCUUGCAUUACAUUGACACCCUAAUGCCUUUAAAAUUUGAUAUAAUACUUUUAAGAUUUUACCAAUAAAAAAAACUUUAACGGCUGAGUUUCUAUGACAGAGAUUAGGGCAUAUGUAUGUGUGCAAGAGUUAGCUGUCUUUAUUUUCUUAACUGUUUUUAUAAUAGAUACUGUCCACUAAUUAAUGCGUUAUUUAGUGGUCGAGAAGGACUGUAAAGGGUGAAUAAUAGAGACGACAGCGACUCGUCUCUGUCCAUGGCUUUUCCCCUUAAGAAGCUUAUAUCAAGCUUUCUACCUAUCUUCUCACCUACUACCAUCGUUAACUUAUCAGAACCACCUUGUGUUCGUUACAAAUCGAUCAUCAGCUUUGGUGAUUCUUCAGCAGACACCGGAAAUUUCCUCAGUCUCUCGGAUGACAUCAACCAUCCUCCUCAAGCCGCAUUCCUUCCAUACGGUGAAACCUUCUUUCAUCCUCCCUCCGGCCGUUACUUCGACUGUCGCCUCAUCAUCGAUUUCAUUGGUAACCUCUAUAAAACAUUUAUGCAGAACCGUUUGUUAUACUCUGGUUUAGGUCUUUUUUACUUGAACAUCAAGUUAAAACCCUACUUCCUCUUUGGGUUUUGUAAUGUUGUGUUCAUUACUUGGACAGCUGAGUUCUUGGCAGUGGCGGACCCAGGACUAAAUUUUACCUGGGUCAAACCAUGUAAAAAAAAUCAAAGGUGUCAACUGUAGGAUUCGAAACUGGGUUUAAACCUUUAGGGGUGUCACAAAGGGAAUUUGACCAACAGAGCUAUUGGUAUUUUAAUGUUAAUCCAUACAAAACAUAUAUUUAUCCAAAUUUAACGUGUGUCAUGUGCAACCCUAUCCUCUCAAGUGGGUCCGCCACUGGUUCUUGGGACAACCUUAUGUACCACCUUACUUUGGCUCUAAAAGUGUGAGCUUUGAUCAAGGGGUCAAUUUCGCGGUGUAUGGAGCAACCGCUUUGGAUCGUGCGUUACUUGUGGAAAAAGGAAUUAAAUCUGAUUUCACCAAUGUUAGUUGAAGUGUUCAGCUUAACAUCUUCAAGAAAAUUUUGCCUAACCUUUGCGCCUCGUCUUCUCGUGAUUGCAGAGAGGUGUUCGGAGACUCGCUGAUACUCAUGGGAGAGUUGGAGUUAACGACUAUAAUUACCCGUUUUUUGAAGGCGAAAGUAUCAAUGAGAUUAAAGAGCUAGUUCCUCUAGUCAUCAAAGCUAUAUCUUCUGCAAUUGUGCAACAAAACUACAGGAAUUGAUCGAUUUGGGAGGCAAAACAUUUCUGGUUCCUGGAAACUUUCCACUUGGAUGUUUCCCUGCGUAUCUUACUCUAUUUGAGACCUCGGAAAAAGAACACGACCCUUUUACAGGUUGUAUCCCAUGGCUCAACGACUUUGGAGAGUACCAUAAUGAACAGCUUAAGACAGAACUUACACAACUCCAAAAGCUCUACCCUCAUGUCUGUUAGAACUCGUUUUUGACAAAGUGGUGCAAACCAUUUUUCAAAGGAUUUUUUCGACGGAGACGUCUGUCGAAAAGACCAGAAUUUGGGCACGAUGUAAUCAUCACCGUGAACACUAUGCGUUAGUGUAUUUGUUGGUCAAAAUCAGAGUUGUGUUGAAUGAGAAAUGGAGGUCCAAAGUGAAUGAUGUGUAAAACUUAUAAAGCUUUAAACUUGGCUAAGUAUAAAAUAUUUAGCAAAUGGAUCACUUUGGAUAUUUGGGUUAGAAUUUAAUUUUAAAUUUGUUAAUGGGACAUUAUGUCAA